AUCUGGACGGCGGAAUUCAGGAUGGCUGGCGCGUCUUCGCGACGCGUCGGUCGUUUGAUAUUUCCGUCGUCGACACGCAGACGUCGCGACCUGCUCGCGGUCGGUCGAGGAGCCGCGUUCGAGUUCGUUGUGUGCGCGUUUCGGCGUGCCACGCGGCGAAGGCGCGGAUCUCUGGCUGGCCGUCGGACAGUAUGCUCAACGGUGUCCGGUGUCGCCAUAGCGCGCGCACCGGUACCGGUCAGCGACGAGUUCUUCGGGCCUCUUUCCGACCCGUCUUGAAACACGGACCAAGGAGUCUAACAUGCGCGCGAGUCGCGGGGUGUCGAGCGUACUUCGGUGCGUUCGUUACGUUGCGAAACCCGUACAUGUCGAAGGCGUAAUGAAAGUGAAUGGGGAAGAUGGUGUUCCGAGUACACGUUCCGCGAUCGUCGGUAUCGCGGCCGGACACCCGCAUUCCCGGGGCGUCUCAACGGCCCGUCGCUGAUGCGGACCGUCGUCUUUCGGGGCGGCGGUCGGUCGGCGAUGAACCGA
rnacentral:rRNA from 1 species